UACGAAGGGGGCUAGCGUUGCUCGGAAUCACUGGGCGUAAAGCGCACGUAGGCGGAUUGCUAAGUCAGGGGUGAAAUCCUGGAGCUCAACUCCAGAACUGCCUUUGAUACUGGCAACCUUGAGUCCGGGAGAGGUGAGUGGAACUGCGAGUGUAGAGGUGAAAUUCGUAGAUAUUCGCAAGAACACCAGUGGCGAAGGCGACUACCUGGCCUGUUCUUGACGCUGAGGCGCGAAAGCUAGGGGAGCAAACGGG
rnacentral:rRNA from 1 species